GACGAACGCUGGCGGCGUGCUUAACACAUGCAAGUCGAACGAUGAAGCCGGAGCUUGCUCCGGUGGAUUAGUGGCGAACGGGUGAGUAACACGUGAGCAAUCUGCCCUUGACUCUGGGAUAACUGCGGGAAACUGUAGCUAAUACCGGAUACGACACCUUGGGGCAUCCCAGGGUGUGGAAAGAAUUUCGGUCAAGGAUGAGCUCGCGGCCUAUCAGCUAGUUGGUGAGGUAAUGGCUCACCAAGGCGACAACGGGUAGCCGGCCUGAGAGGGUGACCGGCCACACUGGAACUGAGACACGGUCCAGACUCCUACGGGAGGCAGCAGUGGGGAAUAUUGCACAAUGGGCGAAAGCCUGAUGCAGCAACGCCGCGUGAGGGAUGAAGGCCUUCGGGUUGUAAACCUCUUUUAGCAGGGAAGAAGCGAAAGUGACGGUACCUGCAGAAAAAGCACCGGCUAACUACGUGCCAGCAGCCGCCGUAA
rnacentral:rRNA from 1 species